rnacentral:rRNA from 1 species
AGAGUUUGAUCAUGGCUCAGAUUGAACGCUGGCGGCAGGCCUAACACAUGCAAGUCGAGCGGUAGCACAGAGAGCUUGCUCUCGGGUGACGAGCGGCGGACGGGUGAGUAAUGUCUGGGAAACUGCCUGAUGGAGGGGGAUAACUACUGGAAACGGUAGCUAAUACCGCAUAAUGUCGCAAGACCAAAGUGGGGGACCUUCGGGCCUCAUGCCAUCAGAUGUGCCCAGAUGGGAUUAGCUAGUAGGUGGGGUAACGGCUCACCUAGGCGACGAUCCCUAGCUGGUCUGAGAGGAUGACCAGCCACACUGGAACUGAGACACGGUCCAGACUCCUACGGGAGGCAGCAGUGGGGAAUAUUGCACAAUGGGCGCAAGCCUGAUGCAGCCAUGCCGCGUGUGUGAAGAAGGCCUUCGGGUUGUAAAGCACUUUCAGCGGGGAGGAAGGCGAUAAGGUUAAUAACCUUGUCGAUUGACGUUACCCGCAGAAGAAGCACCGGCUAACUCCGUGCCAGCAGCCGCGGUAAUACGGAGGGUGCAAGCGUUAAUCGGAAUUACUGGGCGUAAAGCGCACGCAGGCGGUCUGUCAAGUCGGAUGUGAAAUCCCCGGGCUCAACCUGGGAACUGCAUUCGAAACUGGCAGGCUAGAGUCUUGUAGAGGGGGGUAGAAUUCCAGGUGUAGCGGUGAAAUGCGUAGAGAUCUGGAGGAAUACCGGUGGCGAAGGCGGCCCCCUGGACAAAGACUGACGCUCAGGUGCGAAAGCGUGGGGAGCAAACAGGAUUAGAUACCCUGGUAGUCCACGCCGUAAACGAUGUCGAUUUGGAGGUUGUGCCCUUGAGGCGUGGCUUCCGGAGCUAACGCGUUAAAUCGACCGCCUGGGGAGUACGGCCGCAAGGUUAAAACUCAAAUGAAUUGACGGGGGCCCGCACAAGCGGUGGAGCAUGUGGUUUAAUUCGAUGCAACGCGAAGAACCUUACCUGGUCUUGACAUCCACAGAACUUUCCAGAGAUGGAUUGGUGCCUUCGGGAACUGUGAGACAGGUGCUGCAUGGCUGUCGUCAGCUCGUGUUGUGAAAUGUUGGGUUAAGUCCCGCAACGAGCGCAACCCUUAUCCUUUGUUGCCAGCGGUCCGGCCGGGAACUCAAAGGAGACUGCCAGUGAUAAACUGGAGGAAGGUGGGGAUGACGUCAAGUCAUCAUGGCCCUUACGACCAGGGCUACACACGUGCUACAAUGGCAUAUACAAAGAGAAGCGACCUCGCGAGAGCAAGCGGACCUCAUAAAGUAUGUCGUAGUCCGGAUUGGAGUCUGCAACUCGACUCCAUGAAGUCGGAAUCGCUAGUAAUCG